rnacentral:rRNA from 1 species
GGGCCUCUGGGUCCACCUCCCACCCGUGUUUAUUUUACCUUGUUGCUUCGGCGGGCCCGCCUUAACUGGCCGCCGGGGGGCUUACGCCCCCGGGCCCGCGCCCGCCGAAGACACCCCCGAACUCUGUCUGAAGAUUGUGGUCUGAGUGAAAUUAUAAAUUAUUUAAAACUUUCAACAACGGAUCUCUUGGUUCCGGCAUCGAUGAAGAACGCAGCGAAAUGCGAUACGUAAUGUGAAUUGCAAAUUCAGUGAAUCAUCGAGUCUUUGAACGCACAUUGCGCCCCCUGGUAUUCCGGGGGGCAUGCCUGUCCGAGCGUCAUUGCUGCCCUCAAGCACGGCUUGUGUGUUGGGCCCCGUCCUCCGACCCCGGGGGACGGGCCCGAAAGGCAGCGGCGGCACCGCGUCCGGUCCUCGAGCGUAUGGGGCUUUGUCACCCGCUCUGUAGGCCCGGCCGGCGCUUGCCGAUCAACCCAAAUUUUUAUCCUGGUUGACCUCGGAUCAGGUAGGGAUACCCGCUGAACUUAAGCAUAUCAAUAAGUCGAGGAAUACCGAGUGAGGGCCCUCUGGGUCCAACCUCCACCCGUGUUUAUUUUACCUUGUUGCUUCGGCGGGCGCUUAACUGGCCGCGGGGGGCUUACGCCCCGGGCUCCCACGAAAACCCCAAUCUUUUGAAGAAUGUGAAUUUGAAGUGAAAAUAUUAAAUUAUUUAAACUUUCACAACGCAUCUCUUGGUUCGGCAUCCAUGAAGACGCCGAAAUGCAUACUUAAUGUGAAUUGCAAUUUGUGAAUAUUAGUCUUGAAUCAAUUGGACUGGGUAUUCCGGGGCAUGCUGUCGAGCGUUUUGGGUCUCACUUCUCGGUGUUGGGGCGCUCUCAUCCGGGAUGGACCAAAGCAGCGGACACCGUCGUCUCAGCAGGGGAUGAGCCGCCGUUGAGGCCCCGGCGUCGCUAUCCGGCCGGCGCUUGCCGAUCAACCCAAAUUUUUAUCCAGGUGACCUCGGAUCAGGAGCUC